rnacentral:lncRNA from 1 species
GAAGGGUUCCUGCAACCUGGAGCUUCCGUACUGAAAUGACAACCCUGUGGACCCCAAGGGAAAGAAGAAAGGAAGGGGUCACUGAGAGGGGUAUUGAUUUUGGCCACAUCAAUGUCAUAGAGUUUCUUCACGGCCUGUUUGAUCUGGCCUUGACAUCCACAAUGAACACCAGCGUGUUGACUGACUCAGUGGUCAGUGGGAAUUUGAUGACAGCAUAGUGGUCAAGCUCGUUUCUCCUGAGUGCACCCUUUCCAGGAUAUUUUGGCUGCCUCCGGAGCCUCAGUCUUGGGCCGGCGGAAGGUGGGUAACGUUCGGAUUUCCUUCUUUUGUGGCUGUGGACGCCUUUCAGCACCGCCUUCUUAGCUUUCAAGGCCUUCGCUUUGGCUUCAGGUCUGGG